rnacentral:misc_RNA from 1 species
GACAUGGAUCAUCACUGCCCUUUUGUAAGUGUUUACUGUUGUUAACUUAUAGAAAUAAUUUGAUGCAUUGUAGAUAAUCUCUUUUCAUUUUCUUUAAACAUGUGAAUGCUAUUCUUUUAGAAUUGAACAUCCUAUCUGGUGCCACUUCAGUAAUUUGUGAAAGCUGCAUUUAAUGGAAAGAAGCUUCCACUUAAAGUUACGAUUUAUGUUUUUGUGGAUUUUAAUUUUGAUUUAAUUUUUAACUAAGGUAUGUGUGAAAAGAAGUUAAAUGGAGGUUGAACUCAAUUUUAAUCUUGGCUUGCAGCCUUGUUGGGCUUCUUUAGAACUUUUUAUCUUCAUUAAAAAUCUUGUUGCCUUGCCUAAAAAGGAGAAGAAAGAGGGAGUAGUGUAAAUCUUAAUGCAUUAGGGUGUCAACAAUUUGGGUAAUUGGUCAUUUUGAGUUUUAUUUUUUUUAA